GACGAACGCUGGCGGCGUGCCUAAUACAUGCAAGUAGAACGCUGAAGGAGGAGCUUGCUUCUCCGGAUGAGUUGCGAACGGGUGAGUAACGCGUAGGUAACCUGCCUGGUAGCGGGGGAUAACUAUUGGAAACGAUAGCUAAUACCGCAUAAGAGUAGAUGUCGCAUGACAUUUGCUUAAAAGGUGCAACUGCACCACUACCAGAUGGACCUGCGUUGUAUUAGCUAGUUGGUGAGGUAACGGCUCACCAAGGCAACGAUACAUAGCCGACCUGAGAGGGGGAUCGGCCACACUGGGACUGAGACACGGCCCAGACUCCUACGGGAGGCAGCAGGAGGGAAUCUUCGGCAAUGGACGGAAGUCUGACCGAGCAACGCCGCGUGAGUGAAGAAGGGUUUCGGAUCGUAAAGCUCUGUUGUAAGAGAAGAACGAGUGUGAGAGUGGAAAGUUCACACUGUGACGGUAUCUUACCAGAAAGGGACGGCUAACUACGUG
rnacentral:rRNA from 1 species